AACGGUGAACUUCGUUUUCAUUUGCCCAAUGUUAAACACGUUUAAGUAAAAAUGUUUAAGCGAAACAUGGAAAUUACACGUACUCUGCUCUGACACCACUGC